CCCUUAGAUGUCCUGGGCCGCACGCGCGCUACACUGAUGCAUUCAACGAGUCUACCUUGGCCGAGAGGCCUGGGCAACCUUUUAAACGUGCAUCGUGGUAGGGAUAGAUUAUUGCAAUUAUUAAUCUUGAACGAGGAAUUCCUAGUAAACGCAAAUCAUCAAUUUGCAUUGAUUACGUCCCUGCACUUUGUACACACCGCCCGUCGCACCUACCGAUUGAAUGGUCCGGUGAGGACUCGGGAUUUUUACCAGUUUCCUUCAUUGGGAAUUGGUGAGGAGAACUUGUCCAAACCUUAUCAUUUAGAGGAAGGUGAAGUCGUAACA
rnacentral:rRNA from 1 species